AUUGAACGCUGGCGGAAUGCUUUACACAUGCAAGUCGAACGGCAGCACGGUCUUCGGUCUGGUGGCGAGUGGCGCACGGGUGAGUAAUGUAUCGGAACGUGCCCAGUCGUGGGGGAUAACGUAGUGAAAAUUACGCUAAUACCGCAUACGAUCUAUGGAUGAAAGCGGGGGAUCGCAAGCCCUCGCGCGAUUGGAGCGGCCGAUAUCAGAUUAGGUAGUUGGUGGGGUAAAGGCCCACCAAGCCAACGAUCUGUAGCUGGUCUGAGAGGACGACCAGCCACACUGGAACUGAGACACGGUCCAGACUCCUACGGGAGGCAGCAGUGGGGAAUUUUGGACAAUGGGCGAAAGCCUGAUCCAGCCAUUCCGCGUGCAGGAUGAAGGCCCUCGGGUUGUAAACUGCUUUUGUACAGAACGAAAAGGUUUCUACUAAUACUAGGAGCUCAUGACGGUACUGUAAGAAUAAGCACCGGCUAACUACGUGCCAGCCGCCGCCGUAA
rnacentral:rRNA from 1 species